UCUCAUUCGGAUUGGAGUCUGNAACCCGACUCCAUGAAGCUGGAUUCGCUAGUAAUCGCGCAUCAGCCACGGCGCGGUGAAUACGUUCCCGGGCCUUGUACACACCGCCCGUCACACCACGGAAGUUGGGGGCGCCCGAAGCCACUUAGCUAACCCUUUUGGGAAGCGAGUGUCGAAGGUGAAAUCAAUAACUGGGGUGAAGUCGUAACAAGGUAAC
rnacentral:rRNA from 1 species